CUUUUACAAUGAAGAGUUUGAUCCUGGCUCAGGAUGAACGCUAGCUACAGGCUUAACACAUGCAAGUCGAGGGGCAGCAUUUCACUUUGCUUGCAAAGUGAAGAUGGCGACCGGCGCACGGGUGAGUAACACGUAUCCAACCUGCCGAUAACUCGGGGAUAGCCUUUCGAAAGAAAGAUUAAUAUCCGAUGGUAUAUCAAUCCCGCAUGAGAUUGAUAUUAAAGAAUUUCGGUUAUCGAUGGGGAUGCGUUCCAUUAGUUUGUUGGCGGGGUAACGGCCCACCAAGACUACGAUGGAUAGGGGUUCUGAGAGGAAGGUCCCCCACAUUGGAACUGAGACACGGUCCAAACUCCUACGGGAGGCAGCAGUGAGGAAUAUUGGUCAAUGGACGUAAGUCUGAACCAGCCAAGUAGCGUGAAGGAUGACUGCCCUAUGGGUUGUAAACUUCUUUUAUAUGGGAAUAAAGUAUUCCACGUGUGGGAUUUUGUAUGUACCAUAUGAAUAAGGAUCGGCUAACUCCGUGCCAGCAGCCGCGGUAAUACGGAGGAUCCGAGCGUUAUCCGGAUUUAUUGG
rnacentral:rRNA from 1 species